CCUACGGGGGACAGCAGUGAGGAAUAUUGGUCAAUGGACGAGAGUCUGAACCAGCCAAGUAGCGUGAAGGAUGACUGCCCUAUGGGUUGUAAACUUCUUUUAUAAAGGAAUAAAACGAGGCACGUGUGCCUUUUUGCAUGUACUUUAUGAAUAAGGAUCGGCUAACUCCGUGCCAGCAGCCGCGGUAAUACGGAGGAUCCGAGCGUUAUCCGGAUUUAGUGGGUUUAAAGGGAGCGUAGAUGGGUUGUUAAGUCAGUUGUGAAAGUUUGCGGCUCAACCGUAAAAUUGCAAUUGAUACUGGCAGUCUUGAGUACAGUUGAGGUAGGCGGAAUUCGUGGUGUAGCGGUGAAAUGCUUAGAUAUCACGAAGAACCCCGAUUGCGAAGGCAGCUUACUAAACUGUGACUGACAUUGAUGCUCGAAAGUGUGGGUAUCAAACAGGAUUAGAUACCCUGGUAGUC
rnacentral:rRNA from 1 species